GAUGAACGCUAGCGAUAGGCUUAACACAUGCAAGUCGAGGGGCAGCAUGGUCUUAGCUUGCUAAGACUGAUGGCGACCGGCGCACGGGUGCGUAACGCGUAUGCAACUUGCCUCACAGAGGGGGAUAACCCGUCGAAAGACGGACUAAUACCGCGUACACUCCAUCUUGGGCAUCCAAGGUAGAGGAAAUGAAAUUCGCUGUGAGAUAGGCAUGCGUCCCAUUAGCUAGUUGGUGAGGUAACGGCUCACUAAGGCGACGAUGGGUAGGGGAACUGAGAGGUUGAACCCCCACACUGGUACUGAGACACGGACCAGACUCCUACGGGAGGCAGCAGUGAGGAAUAUUGGUCAAUGGGCGAGAGCCUGAACCAGCCAAGUCGCGUGAAGGAUGACUGUCUUAUGGAUUGUAAACUUCUUUUAUACGGGAAUAACAAGAGUCACGUGUGACUCCCUGCGUGUACCGUAUGAAUAAGCAUCGGCUAACUCCGUG
rnacentral:rRNA from 1 species